AGAAUCAACGCUGGCGGCGUGCCUAACACAUGCAAGUCGAACGAGAAAGGGUAGCAAUACCUGAGUAAAGUGGCGCACGGGUGAGUAACACGUGACUAACCUACCUUUUAGUGGGGGAUAACCUAGGGAAACCUGGGCUAAUACCGCAUAAUACCUACGGGUCAAAGCAGCAAUGCGCUGAAUGAGGGGGUCGCGGUCGAUUAGUUAGUUGGCAGGGUAAUGGCCUACCAAGACUGUGAUCGAUAUCCGGCCUGAGAGGGCGCACGGACACACUGGAACUGAAACACGGUCCAGACUCCUACGGGAGGCAGCAGUGGGAAUUUUGCGCAAUGGGGGAAACCCUGACGCAGCAACGCCGCGUGGAGGAUGAAGUCCCUUGGGACGUAAACUCCUUUCGAUCGGGACGAUAAUGACGGUACCGGAAGAAGAAGCCCGGCUAACUUCGCGCCAGCAGCCGC
rnacentral:rRNA from 1 species